rnacentral:lncRNA from 1 species
UCUCCAAAGAGAUUUAGGGCAGCAUAAUCUAGAUUGCUGAUUUUUGACAUCUGUAAUCAUAUAUCACUCAAUCUUUAUAAGAAAAUAAAUCGUGUGACCAAGUAAACAAUCGAGUUAAUGCAUUCCUAAUAAACAAACCACACGGCUAUAGGGGUGAUGUGCAAUGAGGCCACACGGCCUAGGUGAUGUAUGAUGCGGCCAAGCAAGCAAUCAAGUAAUGAUUAAUGCAUCAGUAAGUAAGCCACACGGCUAUGAGGGUUUAAUGCAAUACAAUCAAGGCCACACGGUCAUGCAGUCAUGAUGCAAGCAAAGAGGCCACACGGCUAGAUAGAUAUAUGAUGCGUACGAUCUUAGCUUUCGGAUUCUAUAUGUGAUCAAGGUGAUAUGAUG